GUAGUCUCGCACAGAUGCAUAUCAAUAAGCGGAGGAAAAGAAACUAACAAGGAUUCCCUUAGUAACGGCGAGUGAAGCGGGAAGAGCCCAAAUUUGAAAUCUUCAAGGUUUUACCUUGACGAAUUGUAGUUUAAAGAAGUGUUUUCUGUUGAAGUUUUGGUAAAAGUUCUUUGGAAUAGGACAUCAUAGAGGGUGAGAAUCCCGUAUUUGACCAUUAUUUUCAGCUGUGUGAUACACUUUCAAAGAGUCGGAUUGUUUGGGAAUGCAGUCCAAAAUGGGUGGUAAAUUUCAUCUAAAGCUAAAUAUUGGCGAGAGACCGAUAGCGAACUAGUACCGUGAGGGAAAGAUGAAAAGAACUUUGAAAAGAGAGUUAAAUAGUACGUGAAAUUGUCAAAAGGGAAGCGUUUAACACCAGUGUUGUUUUCUGAAAAUCAACCUCUGUUAGCUUUAUGCAUGUUUGUUUAGACCUAAUCAGCUAUCUUGCAUGUCCUAUUGUUUGCAGUGGUGCACUUUUCAGUUUACAGGUCAACAUCAGUUUUUUUUACCGUAAAAAAGUUAAAGAAAGGUAGCUCAUGGCUCCGGUCGUGAGUGUUAUAGUCUUUUUCCUAUGCGGUAGGAGAGACUGAGGUCUGCAGUGUAGGCUAUUUGGCUAGAUACUCAGGUGCUAUGUGAUACCAUUUCAUAAACAACUUGUUGAUUAUGUUUUGUCUAUUGCAUACUCGCUUGUACUAUCAUACCUACGCUUAGGAUGUUGAAGAUGUAGCACAUAU
rnacentral:rRNA from 1 species